rnacentral:rRNA from 1 species
UACGUAGGUGGCAAGCGUUGUCCGGAAUUAUUGGGCGUAAAGCGCGCGCAGGCGGUCCUUUAAGUCUGAUGUGAAAGCCCACGGCUCAAACCGUGGAGGGUCAUUGGAAACUGGGGGACUUGAGUACAGAAGAGAAGAGUGGAAUUCCACGUGUAGCGGUGAAAUGCGUAGAGAUGUGGAGGAACACCAGUGGCGAAGGCGACUCUUUGGUCUGUAACUGACGCUGAGGCGCGAAAGCGUGGGGAGCAAACAGG